GGGAUAAUAGUUAAAUAUAACAUUUGAAUUGCACUCAAAAAGUAUUGGUAAACCAAUUUAUCUU
rnacentral:tRNA from 1 species